rnacentral:rRNA from 1 species
UACGUAGGGCGCAAGCGUUGUCCGGAAUUAUUGGGCGUAAAGAGCUCGUAGGCGGCUUGUCACGUCGGGUGUGAAAGCCCGGGGCUUAACCCCGGGUCUGCAUUCGAUACGGGCAGGCUAGAGUGUGGUAGGGGAGAUCGGAAUUCCUGGUGUAGCGGUGAAAUGCGCAGAUAUCAGGAGGAACACCGGUGGCGAAGGCGGAUCUCUGGGCCAUUACUGACGCUGAGGAGCGAAAGCGUGGGAGCGAACAGG